ACUGGGGGUGCGGGCCGCGCCGGCGGGGGUGUGUGUGCGUCCCGGCGCCGCCCCGCCCCGCCCCGCCCCCUGGCGCCGCGAGGUUUUAAAGCCAGGGCCCGGCGGCCGGCCGGCAGCAGUGGGGCGCGCGCCGCAUGCGUCUCGGGGUCCGGCCGGCUCCCUUCCUCCCCGGUGCCAGCCUCUGCCCCGCCCAGGGCCCCUGCCCCCGUGCCACGGUCAGCUGGGGUUCCUGGGGAUGGGAUUUGCUGUCUGUCACAAAUCACAUUGCCAGGGAUUUCCAACUGACCCUGAGCUCUGCCUCCAGGGCCACCAAGGAUAUCUGACUGCACCAGGGGACAAGGAGGUCGAGAGGGCCACUGUCACCAUCACCGCCACGUCACCACCGCUGCUACAGCCCUGGUUGCCUCCACCAGGCCCGAGGAGCAGGGCUUAGCUGCUUGUGAGCAGGGUUCCCACCAGGCGUGUUCACAGUGGCUAAGUUCCGUCCCCCGGGCCCCGCCCUCUGCACCUCCACCCCCAGCACCACGGUGCCACUACUGCUGGGCCGGGCUCUGCCUCCUGUACCUACUGAGCUGAAACACAGUUGAUUUGUGCAGACUGGCUCAGUUCAGCAGGAACAGGGGUCAAGUCCCCUGGAGCCCGCUGCUGGCUGGCUGUCCCAACUCAAGGACCAGAUGGGCUCAUGGGAGGGGGGUCUGGGCGGCUGCUGCCCCUGGCCAGCACACAGGUCCCUACCUUGUGCAGACUGGGCUGCAGUCCUGGGGCAGACAGAUGAGUGGGUAGGUGGCCCUUCCUGAUGAAAGGAAGCGGCCGAGCUCCCCUGGGCCCAGCGCCUCAGCCCUGCUUUUCCUAUUUUGUGAGAUAGGGUCCCCUUGUAUAGUCCAGGCUGGCCUUGAGCUCACUGGGUAGCCUUGGCAGGCCUCCUGCCUCAGCCUCCUGAGUGCUGGGAUGACAGGCAUGUGCCACCACGCCCGGCUCAGUCCCUCCUCCCCUAAGCCUGGCAGGGUGCUGCACCUUCUCGGCUGCCAGUUACUCAAGAGGAAGCUGCCUCAGGCCCCCUGACCGUUAAGUGCCAACUCCCAGCUUCCGGAACCAGCCGGCCUGACUUGGCCACAUGUACCCAGUCCCUUCUCGCCCUGUGCCCUUUGGCUUCUUAAUGGCACCUGCUCCCCCCCGGACAGGGAGCAAGCUCCUUAGGCCCAGAAGAGACAGGAGCAGGUGUUCCCAUGCUAGGGCUGGGUCAGCCUGUGCUGCCCUCCUCAGUGGUCCUGGGCUUGGGAAAGGCGAACUGUGCCAUGGCCCCGAGUCAGGUGGAGGGAGGGCUCCCCGGAAGGGGGCUGGGGAGGUGGAGGACAGUGUCCAGGCUGUCUGGGCCGGGGGUGGGGGGUGGGGUGGGAGCUCAGGCUGGAGAGGGCAGUGCUUGUAUUGUGCACAGCAAAAUAAAUGUGGUCCUGCCCUCACCUCGGGGCACUGA